rnacentral:lncRNA from 1 species
CUGGAGAAACUUUUGAAUAUGUUGAAUGGUUGUAAAGUGAUUAUUAUUUUUACCAUAUCUUCAAAAGAUGUUUUAUCUUAAUCGCAGACCAUUCUUUGCUGAUGUUUACAAACACUACUCAGACAAAUUAGAUUAUCAUUAAAUUUAGUGAUGCCUAUUAUCUUAGGUGUGUGUUGACUCUCUGGCUUUUGGAAUCUUUCUUAGAUUGGCAGCCCAAGCAGCAGAACAAAUAUUAUCCAUCCCCAGGUUUAUUUCUCUUCACUCCCUCCUGUCCGGGUGGUCUUUGCAGUAACUAUGGAAGGCAGUGCUCGGAAAGUGAUCACUGUCCGUUCAGCCCUCAUUGUGAGGAACCGACUUGAGACACCAAUGG